rnacentral:rRNA from 1 species
AAAGAUUUUCAUACCACCCUGAACGUGCCCAGUCUCCUCUGAUUUUGGGAGCUAAGCAUGGUCUGGCCUGGUUAGUACUUGGAUGAGAGAAAGAUCUUCA